rnacentral:rRNA from 1 species
CCUACGGGUGGCAGCAGUGAGGAAUAUUGGUCAAUGGGCGGGAGCCUGAACCAGCCAAGCCGCGUGAGGGAAGAAGGUACAGCGUAUCGUAAACCUCUUUUGUCAGGGAACAAAGGCGGGGACUAGUCCCCGGAUGAAGGUACCUGAAGAAAAAGCAUCGGCUAACUCCGUGCCAGCAGCCGCGGUAAUACGGAGGAUGCGAGCGUUAUCCGGAUUUAUUGGGUUUAAAGGGUGCGCAGGCGGCCUGUUAAGUCAGCGGGAAAAGCCCGGGGCUCAACCCCGGCGAGCCGUUGAAACUGGCGGGCUGGAGUUGGAGAGAGGCAGGCGGAAUGCGUGGUGUAGCGGUGAAAUGCUUAGAUAUCGCGAAGAACCCCGAUUGCGAAGGCAGCGUACCGGCUCCAAACUGACGCUGAGGCACGAAAGCGUGGGUAUCGAACAGGAUUAGAUACCCUUGUAGUC